GAUAAACGCUGGCGGCGUGCCUAACACAUGCAAGUCGAACGAAGUGGCGAACGGGUGAGUAACACGUGAGUAACCUGCCUUACACAAGUGGAUAUCCUUUGGAAACGAAGAAUAAUACCCUAUAGUGUAAGAUGGACUUGCGUCUGAUUAGCUAGCUGGUCGGAUAAAAGCCCACCAAGGCGACGAUCAGUAGCCGGCUUGAGAGCGUGUACGGCGCCAUUGGGAAUGAGACACGGCCCAGAAUCUACGAGAGGCAGCAGUGGGGAAUUUUGCACAAUGGGGGAAACGCUAAUGCAGCGACGACGCGUAAUUUAGAAGGCCUUCGUGUUGUAAAAAUAUUUUUUAUGGGAGGCAGUACCAUAAGAAUGAGGUCCGGCUAAAUACGUGACAGCGGCCGCAGUAAUUC
rnacentral:rRNA from 1 species